AAGUGGAGAAGGGUUCCAUGUGAAAGUGGAGAAGGGUUCCAUGUGAACAGCAGUUGAACAUGGGUCAGUCGGUCCUAAGGGAUGGGCGAACGCCGUUCGGAAGGGAGGGGCGAUGGCCUCCGUCGCCCCCAGUCGAUCGAAAGGGAAUCGGGUUCAGAUCCCCGAACCCGGAGUGGCGGAGACGGGCGCCGCUCGGCGCCCAGUGCGGUAACGCAAACGAACCCGGAGAAGCUGGCGGGGGCCCCGGGAAGAGUUCUCUUUUCUUUGUGAAGGGCCGGGCACCCUGGAAUGGGUUCGUCCCGAGAUAGGGGCCCACGCCCUGGAAAGCGCCGCGGUUCCGGCGGCGUCCGGUGAGCUCUCGUCGGCCCUUGAAAAUCCGGGGGAGAAGGUGUAAGUCUCGCGCCGGGCCGUACCCAUAUCCGCAGCAGGUCUCCAAGGUGAACAGCCUCUGGCGUGUUAGAACAAGGCAGCGUAAGGGAAGUCGGCAAGUCAGAUCCGUAACUUCGGGAUAAGGAUUGGCUCU
rnacentral:rRNA from 1 species